AGGAUGAACGCUGGCGGCGUGCCUAAUACAUGCAAGUCGAGCGCCCCUUUAAGAGGUGACAAUCAUUGAUUGUCGGUUCCUAUGGGGAGCGGCGGACGGCUGAGUAACGCGUGGGAACGUGCCCCAAAGUGAGGGAUAAGCACCGGAAACGGUGUCUAAUACCGCAUAUGAUCUUCGGAUUAAAGCUUUAUGCGCUUUGGGAGCGGCCUGCGUCCUAUUAGAUAGUUGGUGAGGUAAAGGCUCACCAAGUCAACGAUGGGUAGCUGGUCUGAGAGGAUGACCAGCCAGACUGGAACUGAGACACGGUCCAGACU
rnacentral:rRNA from 1 species